CGUAGGGUGCGAGCGUUGUCCGGGAAUUAUAGGGCGUAAAGAGCUCGUAGGCGGUUUGUCGCGUCGACUGUGGAAACCCCGAGGCUUAACCUCGGGCCUGCAGUCGAUACGGGCAGACUAGAGUUCGGUAGGGGAGACUGGAAUUCCUGGUGUAGCGGUGAAAUGCGCAGAUAUCAGGAGGAACACCGGUGGCGAAGGCGGGUCUCUGGGCCGAUACUGACGCUGAGGAGCGAAAGCGGUGGGGAGCGAACAGGAUUAGAUACCCUGGUAGUCCACGCCGUAAACGUUGGGCGCUAGGUGUGGGGACCUUCCACGGUCUCCCGUGCCGCAGCUAACGCAUUAAGCGCCCCGCCUGGGGAGUACGGCCGCAAGGCUA
rnacentral:rRNA from 1 species